GACGAACGCUGGCGGCGUGCUUAACACAUGCAAGUCGAGCGGAAAGGCCCUUCGGGGUACUCGAGCGGCGAACGGGUGAGUAACACGUGGGUAACCUGCCCUUCACUCUGGGAUAACUCCGGGAAACCGGGGCGUAAUACCGGAUACGACCACUUUAGGCAUCUUCGGUGGUGGAAAGUUUUUCGGUUGGAGGAUGGACCCGCCGGCCUAUCAGCUUGUUGGUGGGGUAAGUGGCCUACCAAGGCAGUGACGGGUAGCCGGCCUGAGAGGGCGACCGGCCACACUGGGACUGAGACACGGCCCAGACUCCUACGGGAGGCAGC
rnacentral:rRNA from 1 species